rnacentral:rRNA from 1 species
CUCAACUGUCUCUCUAAGUUAAUCAGUGAAAUUGNNNUUUCCGUGCAGAAGCGAGAAUAAAUAUAUAAGACGAGAAGACCCUGUGGAGCUUUAAACUAAAAUUAAUUAUCAUUUUCCUCUAAUCCAAUAGGAAAACCUUUUAAAAAAAUAAAAAUUAAAUUUAGGUUUUUGGUUGGGGCGACCAGGGAAGAAAAAAAAUCUUCCGAGAUAAAACAUUAAGAGAUACUACUCUAAUAAUAAAACAUUUAAUAAUUGAUCCAAUAUUUGAUCAACGAACCAAGUUACCCUAGGGAUAACAGCGCAAUCCUAUCCUAGAGUCCAUAUCAACAAUUGGGUUUACGACCUCGAUGUUGGAUCAGGACACCCUAAUGGUGCAGNCGCUAUUAAUGGUUNGUUNGU